rnacentral:rRNA from 1 species
UACGUAGGGGGCGAGCGUUAUCCGGAUUUACUGGGUGUAAAGGGAGCGUAGACGGCUGGUCAAGUCUGAAGUGAAAGCCCGGGGCUUAACCCCGGAACGGUUUUGGAAACUGAGCAGCUAGAGUGCUGGAGAGGUAAGCGGAAUUCCUAGUGUAGCGGUGAAAUGCGUAGAUAUUAGGAGGAACGCCAGUGGCGGAGGCGGCUUACUGGACAGUAACUGACGUUGAGGCUCGAAAGCGUGGGGAGCAAACAGG